rnacentral:rRNA from 1 species
ACACAUGCAAGUCGAGGGGCAGCAUCAUCAAAGCUUGCUUUGAUGGAUGGCGACCGGCGCACGGGUGAGUAACACGUAUCCAACCUGCCGACAACACUGGGAUAGCCUUUCGAAAGGAAGAUUAAUACCGGAUGGUAUAGUUUUCCCGCAUGGGAUGAUUAUUAAAGAAUUUCGGUUGUCGAUGGGGAUGCGUUCCAUUAGGCAGUUGGCGGGGUAACGGCCCACCAAACCUACGAUGGAUAGGGGUUCUGAGAGGAAGGUCCCCCACAUUGGAACUGAGACACGGUCCAAACUCCUACGGGAGGCAGCAGUGAGGAAUAUUGGUCAAUGGACGAGAGUCUGAACCAGCCAAGUAGCGUGAAGGAUGACUGCCCUAUGGGUUGUAAACUUCUUUUAUACGGGAAUAAAGUGAGCCACGUGUGGCUUUUUGUAUGUACCGUAUGAAUAAGGAUCGGCUAACUCCGUGCCAGCAGCCGCGGUAAUACGGAGGAUCCGAGCGUUAUCCGGAUUUAUUGGGUUUAAAGGGAGCGUAGGCGGGUUGUUAAGUCAGUUGUGAAAGUUUGCGGCUCAACCGUAAAAUUGCAGUUGAUACUGGCGACCUUGAGUGCAACAGAGGUAGGCGGAAUUCGUGGUGUAGCGGUGAAAUGCUUAGAUAUCACGAAGAACUCCGAUUGCGAAGGCAGCUUACUGGAUUGUAACUGACGCUGAUGCUCGAAAGUGUGGGUAUCAAACAGGAUUAGAUACCCUGGUAGUCCACACAGUAAACGAUGAAUACUCGCUGUUGGCGAUAUACAGUCAGCGGCCAAGCGAAAGCAUUAAGUAUUCCACCUGGGGAGUACGCCGGCA